AUCCAGCUGACGAAUCCCAAAUAGGACGAAAAGCGCAUCCUGGAU
rnacentral:hammerhead_ribozyme from 1 species